GUCCUUAGUUACCAGCACGUUAUGGUGGGCACUCUAAGGAGACUGCCGGUGACAAACCGGAGGAAGGUGGGGAGUGACGUCAAGUCAUCAUGGCCCUUACCGGCCUGGGCUACACACGUGCUACAAUGGUCGGUACAAAGGGUUGCCAAGCCGCGAGGUGGAGCUAAUCCCAUAAAACCGAUCGUAGUCCGGAUCGCAGUCUGCAACUCGACUGCGUGAAGUCGGAAUCGCUAGUAAUCGUGAAUCAGAAUGUCACGGUGAAUACGUUCCCGGGCCUU
rnacentral:rRNA from 1 species